UUUGCCUGCUAUCCUGCCACGUCCUACGCUACAUCCUUGUCUGGCGCUGCCACACCUGGACGGCUUGAGUCAAGAACAAGAAUACAAACGGGGAAUGCAGCGUGUCCUAUUAGGUUUCCAAACAGCUUGUAAUGACUGGUAAUAAACAGCAGAAGAAAGAAGUAAAUCAAGCGAGAAGACGACAAAAUGAGCUCUCCAGGGGGCCUGCAUAGUCCCUGUUUUCAAGACACACACAAACACACAAAUGGAAACACUAGCAACUCUUCUCUACUAGUGUAAGUCCCUUGUCCCUUCGCUGUCACUCCCUCCCAAUGGUGUCACGGCUCGCUGGCUCCAGGUGGCGAGGGAAGAUGGGAAGCAGAGAGGAAGGGGGAUUGCUAGAUGGAUGACAGAGGAGAAGGGCGUGCUGUCAUCUACUCCUAUGUUCAAACCAGCACUACAGACAAGCGUCUAUAGCAGUGGUUCUU